AUUUUAAAAAAGAUUCGCACCUCGAACAGCCGUGAAGGCGACACUCUGGGGAACGAUCUCCCAAUUUCCUUUGAGUGUAGGAUGUUAAGCAUCGCGAGAGGAUGAAUUGUUCUUUUUGAAACGUAUCCAAAAGUUAUAUGAGGAAAAUACCGUUUUUGUGGUGAAUAGAUUGAUUGUGAAGUAUCGAAAAUAGAAAAAUUGAAAAAUGUUCAUGAAGUGAAAACAAAAGAGAAAAUUCUCGCUGGGAAAAGUUUUCAGGUAACCAGUUGGCGUGGUUCAUUGCGUGGUACGCAACGCGACGCGAAAAGCAGCCUCAGAAGAAAUCACGAACGCUUAAAGUGAUUUUGGAGGGAAAAUUCGGUCGAGUUUUGGUGUCUUGGGGAAAAUCGACAUUCGUAUUGGACGAUCUAAAUUGUUAAAUUUCAAAACAAUCUUUUAGAAUUUCAGCGGAAAACUGAUUAGAUACGUCGAAAUCAGGAAUAAAUGAUUACUUACUCAAUAGAAAGCAGACAGAAACGAAGCAACAACAAAUAUACGGUGCGCCGAGCUCGAAGUGUAAUCAACGUCUUCCGUGUAAUUUUGCAUGUGCUUCAAAGCUACUGCGACAUGAAUUAAAUUUGCAAGUUUUUAUUCCUGCCUUCAAUAGAAAUGGCUUUCGAUUGGUAACCAAUGUAUUCAUUUACUUUGUAUAUAACAGAACAAGA